GAGUUAGGGAGGGGGUGACUAGGGACAGAGUGAGGGAGGGGGUGACUAGGGACAGAGUGAGGGAGGUGGUUACUAGUGACAGAGGGAGGGAUGGGGUGACUAGUGACAGUCACCACCUCCCUCACUCUGUCACUAGUCACCACCUCCAUCACUCUAUCACUGUGUCACUCCCUCCCUCACUCUGUCACCAGUCAUCCCCUCACUCUUUCACUAGUCACCCCUUCCUUCCCUCACUC